GUGCCCUGCUACAAUUUAUUCCCCCCUUGUGUGUAACCCUCUACCACCUCUCCAUUCUUAGAUGACAGAUAAGCCCACUGAAAUUUAUUUAAAAAAACAAAAAGAGGAAACACAGCGCAAGCUUCAGACAGCUGGAGCUUAUUGUCAACUGAGCAUCUCCUUAAAGUUGGACUCUAAAUUUCAUGUGCUGUGCAGGAACUGGAGGAUGCACCCACUCGUAUAGAUUUACCAAAAUAUGCAGGGAUUAUCACCUCUCUGCAGCACAGAUUCUUCACCCCUCAACCAAUUCCAACUCCAUUGACACGUCCAUCUCCCUGUUUUGCUGUCCACACUGGACACACUGCUGCUGACUUACUUUUGUUUCUACAACCUCUGCAACCUGAGCAGUGUUGUGCUCUCAUUCAGCUGCGCCACAUGUUUUAUCUCAGUUUAGUAAUUUUCCUUCUUUGCUUAUCGACAAACAAUAGAGAAGAAUAAAAAUCUUAGAUAAAAUUAAAAAUCUUCUUCCGUAAAAAUACGGAAUCGUCCCGUAUUGGCUGUUAAAUGUCACGACCCAUAUUGAACCGAUGCAAAUCAUACUAAUAGAGUAACAGUAUAGAAAUAUUGUUAAGAGAAACUGUUGAUUUGUCCUACAUUUAAAAAGUUUGUUAGGGCUCUCUGUGUAGGAAAAUUGUUGAUAUGUUUUAUAAGUACUGUGUUAUGUGGUCAAUGUUAUUUCACUAUUAUUUUAUCAAUGUGGUUUGCCAGUUUGGAUAACCUGACUUCCUAUCAAGCUAUAAAAGAGAAAGAAAAACAUGCUAACAAAAAGUAUGGACCUGCAGCCUAUAGGUCCAGCCUAUAGGCGGUCCGAGACAGGGACGGACACAAGUGGCUCUUUGGUUCACUUAUAUAUUAAAUGAUGAACUAUUGACCUGUUUUUUGUUUCAUUCUUUUUUAUGUUCUCCCCAUGAAAAAACACCGACAACCCUGGCUCCCGUGGUAAAUUUAGUCUAGGACCAGCCUCCAAACAUGGCUCCUAACUCCUUAUAUAUUUUUUGAUAUUUGUAAGGAUGUUGGUUUUGUGUACUCAUUAAUUAAUUUAGUUUCCAUGCUGUUGUGUCUUACCCCUUAUUAUUUCCACCUGUCUCCCCUGAUAAUUCCCUGUGUAUUUAACCUCACCUGUGUCUUCUAACUUUGAAAAAUGCUUAGUGCACUUCCAUCCGUCCAUCCAUCAUCAUACAUGCUUAUCCCUAGUGGGGUCGUGAGGACCAAGUGGUCAACAGGUGAGGUCACUCUGGACAGGUCACCAGUCCAUCGCGGGGCAACACAGACACGACAAACAACCCAUGCACGCACACACUCAUACUAAUCAAAUAUUUUGAUCAACACAUCUUCUUUUUCCACUCCCAACUUCUCUCUCACUCGUCUCCCCGCCUCCCCCAGAGGACUCCAGAUUCCAUUCUGUUCAUCUUAGGUCACCCCUCUCUUUCCGAAUCAGUCUGGUAACUGAGUGACAGCGACAGCUGAGGCUCUGCCCGGUCCAGGACUUCCCACAGUUUACCCCUCCUCUACAGCAGGGUUAAAGAAUGGGGUGUGGACAGUCUCCUUUAUCUCCUCCUAUUCCUGGGCAUUACUUUGAGGAUCAGCUGCUCCCUGUAGACAAACACCACUGAUGGUGCCUAUAAGCUGCCCUACCUGGAGGGCGGGACUGCUGACUGGCAUCAGCACACCUGCUGUGAUUACCGGUAAUCACUUCAUCAUCUAGGAGUAUAUGAGGAACGGACUACGAGCACUUCGACGCCUGAGUGUUUGCCAAUAAUGGUUCUCUGCGCCCCUCGGUGCCAGUUCUCUAAGUUUCCUGAUACUCCUUCUCCUUCAGAUGUUUCCUCGUGACGCCUUGGAUUUUUACCCACUGGUUGCCCGAGUCCCUUUUCACCUCCGCAGAAGAAUCAAUAACAGUUCCUGGAUUCUCAGCCGGCAGUCGGAUCGUUCUUCGACUCUCCUCAUCAUCUGAACUUACCUGUCCGCCCUUCACCGCAUCCUCCUCCAUCAACCACCAAAACACUCUCCGGUCAGAGCUUCUCACUGGAACCUAAAUUAUUUAAAAAAAAAACCCUGAAAAAAGAGACCAUAACCCUGGAGACCACAGUAACUUCCCCCCUGGCGGAAACUCUUCUCCGCCAAAGUACAGACGACCAAUCUACAGGAC